GAUGAGGCGGCCGAGAGGUUAAGGUGUUGGACUGCUAAUCCAAUGUGUUCUGCACGCAUGGGUUCAAAUCCCAUCUUCAUUG